GGCCGCUGAGCGGCCCUUAAAUUGGCCAGCGGCCCCCAAAAAAUGUACAUGAAAAUGAAUUCCCAAUUCAGGGAAAUAAAAUAAAAAUCGAUAUUUCCGGAAAAGUUUCUGUCACCGAUUAAGGCAACUAUAAUUUUUCAUAGUUUGUUGUCAAAACGUUUUAAAAUCCGGAUAAGAAUGCUGUUUACGAUCGCAUCUUAGUAACAACGAUUUAAUUAUGUCAACAUGUGGGAAACAAUUUUAGCAGCCGAAUACAAUUAAUUAAUAUGUUAUGGGAGUAUUGGAUCUUGUAAAAGCAGAUCGCCCAGCAGGUUGAUAAAAAUGGGUGUCAAAGCAGACUUCGGCAGAGAGCAAAUUCAAAUUUUGAUAUAACAUUGAUGGAUAAGGUUUAAUGGACGCCGAUCUCGUAAAAGCAGAUCGCCCAGCAGAGCCGGUUAUAUAAUAUGAUGAAAACUUGUUUUGUAAAAGAAAUUAUUUCCUCAAAAGACAAAAGUUUGAGCGUUUUUUGAAAAUAAUGUUGAUGAUAG
rnacentral:lncRNA from 1 species